rnacentral:rRNA from 1 species
UGGUGGAGUGAUUUGUCUGGUUAAUUCCGAUAACGAACGAGACCUUAACCUGCUAAAUAGCCCGGCCGACUUUGGUUGGCCGCUGGCUUCUUAGAGGGACUAUCGACGUUUAGUCGAUGGAAGUUUGAGGCAAUAACA